GCCUCUGUAGCUUAGUCGGAAGAGCAUGUGACUUUUAAUCACAAGGUCAAGGGUUCGAGCCCCUUCAGAGGCU
rnacentral:tRNA from 1 species